rnacentral:rRNA from 1 species
AAAUGCGAUAAGUAAUGUGAAUUGCAGAAUUCAGUGAAUCAUCGAAUCUUUGAACGCACCUUGCGCCCUUUGGUAUUCCGAAGGGCAUGCCUGUUUGAGUGUCAUUAAAUUAUCAACCUUGUUCGCUUUUCGGAGCUUGAGCGAGGCUUGGAUGUGAGGGUUUUUGCUGGCUUCCUUCAGUGGAUGGUCUGCUCCCUUUAAAUGCAUUAGUGGGAUCUCUUUUGUGGACCGUCACUUGGUGUGAUAAUUAUCUAUGCCAUUGACUUGCUUAACGAGAAUCUGCUUAUAACCGUCUCGCAAGGGACAACACUUUAUUGACAAUUUGACCUCAAAUCAGGUAGGACUACCCGCUGAACUUAAGCAUAUCAAUAAGCGGAGGAA